UCGGGUUCAACGCAGGCACCCGGCCUCUACAAGGCAUUCUGCCCAAGCACUGC
rnacentral:ncRNA from 1 species